UACGUAGGGGGCAAGCGUUGUCCGGAUUUAUUGGGCGUAAAGAGCGUGUAGGCGGCUUUGCAAGUCCGUUGUGAAAACUCGAGGCUCAACCUCGAGACCGCCGGUGGAAACUGCAAAGCUAGAGUCCGGAAGAGGAGAGUGGAAUUCCGUGGUGUAGCGGUGAAAUGCGCAGAUAUCAGGAAGAACACCCGUGGCGAAGGCGGCUCUCUGGGACGGUACUGACGCUGAGACGCGAAACGUGGGGGAGCGAACAGG
rnacentral:rRNA from 1 species